rnacentral:tRNA from 1 species
GCGGCAGUAGCUCAGUGGUAGAUUCCCGCUUCGCAUGCGGGGAGACCUGGGUUCGAUUCCCGGCUGCUUCC